rnacentral:lncRNA from 1 species
GGGUGGAGAUAUCAUCACUCACAAAAAUUGUCAAAUAAAGAUAUUUGAUACCGAAAGAAUAUUUGCCAGUUUACAAUCGUCAAAUACACCGUUAUUUCACAAUUGAAAAUGGUCAAAUAUGCCCGUUUUCCUUGCAGUAGUAAUCCUUCAAAAUUGAUAUCCCCAACGUUAAAACAAUUUCCUGAAUCAAUGAAAUUAUAGUUAUAUUUAAAUGAAAAAAAAAUAUUGUUUGUAGCUAGAGAGUGGACUUGGUCAUUAAUUACUCAUUAACAAAUACCAAUUGAGAUGUUUCAUUUUAGUUGAGUGGUCGAUAUAUUACUCAGCCAAUCAAAUUGCAAGACAUCAAGUCUGUGGUGGGAGAAAUUCUAUAAUACCUUUUAUGUAUUACAAUCAAUUGAUGCAUGCAUGUCAUAUAUAGUUAAAUUUAAUAUAAUCACUACUUGUAUGAUAACUUUUCAAACUAAAUGCCCACAUGUCAUAGUAUCAUUUGCUUAUUGUAUGACUGACAUGGUACCUCUAAUAUAUUCUACACAACAACAUUACGAAUUUAACUAUGAAAAAUUGCCUUGCAAUGGAAGUUUUCUUCAUUAUUAAGUUCAUAAUAUCUUUGAUUUUAAUAGCUUUGAUUCAAUUGCAAGCAUGCAAAGCUUGCUUUGAUUCAAUGGUCUGUUGGAAAUCAAGAGCUUCUUUGUUAUAUCAAUAGGUGAUAGGGACUUAGCAGACUAAGUUCUUACUUUAUGGGUUGAUGAUGAUAGAAUCGCUGAUUGUUGAGUUUGGGAGCGAGUUAAUUGCGAAUUUGCGACGGCACCACACGACGGUUGAUUCCACUUUUGCUUAAUACUUAGUGGUACACCGCUGAACAAAAUUAAUUACUUCUAUAUAUGAUGGAUCUCCACUUCUAAAUUUGUCCUUGUUUCUUCCCUUUGAAGAAUUGCAAAGCCUUGACUUAUCUUGUAAUUAUAUUGAAGGCUUUUAAGAGUACAAAUAUACAUACGUAUAUCAAUUGUUUUGGUAAACCCAGUACGACGUAGGAAUUUUUUUUUUUUAAAAAAAAAGAAAAGAAAAGAGAAAAAGAUACCUAGAUGGGAGAAGAUGUAAUAAGUCUCACUCUCAUAAAAUAAAAUAAAUAAAUCAAACACAAACCUAACAAUAAACUACCGAUGCAUGAAAUGCAAUACAAUAAAGAACUCCACGUUAAAACUAAAAGCUUGCGGUAAAAAAAUCAAAAUAAAAUAAGAGAAAUAAACAUAAAUAUAUAAAUCUAAAUUUGGUUAAUUUCUUUUUAAAUAUUCUUCUUAAAAGUAGGAUUGAGCUAGGUUUCGAACUCCUACCUUUUAAUGAAUCAAAUUUAGGUACCAAGGCCAAAAAAAAGUUAAAAAACACUCGGUCAAGUCAUGGGGUUAUCUAUCUUCGGGUCAUAUAUAGGACUAAUAAUCAAUACUGCAUAUGUCUUCGCAGCUUACGAUAGCUUUGAGAGUUUGAAGCAGCUUAAGAUCUUAAAUAUUAAAUAUUGAGAAUAAUUGGUUCAACGCCAGUGCAUUACCUCAUUCGACUACAAUGACCUCACUUACCACUAUCUUAUUCUUAAAUCCAAUUCAAUUGUAGGUUUCAAACCUAUGGAAGGGGUCUCUCUCUCUCUCUCUCUAUAUAUAUAUAUAUAUGCUCUUUACCAGAAUUUACAUGCAUUUAAUCUUUAUCAAUCUAUCUAUGUAUUUCAAAAUUUAUGUUCUCUGAGCAGGAUUAAUAGCAAAUUUUGUCAAAUCUAUAAGUGUUGGAUCUAAGUGACCCAAUAAUGGCUCAGUAACAAGGUAACUAAACCUAUAGUGAGAUUUGAAUUUAAUUACUAAAAAGUUUCUACAGUAUAUUAUAUAUACCCUUAAAACUAAUUCUAAAGUAAUUAUAUUUUCUUUUGCUCCAUGUAGGAUUGGCAAAUUUGACGAAUUUUGAGAAGAUUGGAUCUAAUAACUGUCGAAUUACUAUAAGUCAAGGUAUAUGAUGAAACUAUUCAUUUCCUAUUUUUCUUUAAUGUUUUGUGAAGACGCUUCCUCAUAUUCUUUUUUCUUCUUGUAGGAUUUGUAAAUUUGACAAACUUGAAAAUUAUUCAUCUACGAGGAAAUAGAAUAAGCGGAUCCGUGACAAGACUGGGUACUAACAAUUCAAUUUAUAGAAAGUUGCUUAUCUAUUUAUGAGAAAAAUUAAUAGACAAGCAAGAUCUUGAAUUGGAUUUAGCUAGGUUACAUCGGUGGUACCGUACCACUUCUUUUAUCUUUUGUGACAGCUCCACGAGAAAUUUUCUUAGAACCCCUUCCACACCAGAAAUUUUCCUAAAAUCCCUUCCACUCACUUUUAUUCAAACUUUAUUUCAUAAGUAUUAAGCUAAUUUCCACUUGCAUCCAUGAGCACAUUUGAAUUAGCACCUUGCCAUAUUUAAUAUUAUUUUUAUUCUAUAUAGCACCUGUAUCACAAUACCCCUUCUUUACUAUUUUGAGAUUGAAUAAUUGCCAUGUUUAAUUUAGAACCUUACACUCCUUUUUUU